GCACUAUUCCUCGACUUUGAUCUUCUAUUUGAUAUUACUAGCUAGUUUUGAAAAUGUGUGAAAAUUUAAUAAAAGGUUAAAAAAACAAUGCAAGAAAAAUGGAUCCGUGCAGGAGAUUACUUUUAGUGGGAUUGGCGGCUCUAUCAUUACCGGUGGAGAAGGACAAUCAACGAAAUGAGCGCCGACAACAUUGAGUAAACCCAUUUCUGCAGGAAAGAAACCAGGAGGUUCUUCGACCGUUUGUCCAUAUGUUAAUGUGAGUAUAUAAAUAUCUGACAAUACCCUUUACACAUCCCGUAGUGUUUAGGUAAGAUUCAAUGUAUGGUAUGAUUCUCAAAAGGAAAACAACCUAAAAUAUGUUGUUAACAGGUCUGUUUCUUGGCAACAAGAAGUUACUGGCGUUCAAAUAAGUAAAACAUAUUAAAAUUGCAAAUAAAUUCAAUUUAAUCUCAUUAAUCUAUAAUGACUGUUUCCUUUUCUUGACGUUUGAUGGCCUUAAGUUCGUUGAGACGCACGGUGGUCAUUAUCUUUCCACUUCAGCGGCAUUUUUGCCUCCAUUUUAUUGAGACUUUACUUUCUGUUUGCUAGGUACCUCGCGGAAAUAAAGCAGAUCUAUAUUUGUCGAGCUGAAGUAUAUCGAUUCUUGCAGUGAUAUUACCGACAUUUUUUAAAUAUAUGACAUCCCUAGCCGAGUCACCAAUGUGACCGCGAAACUAACGAUAUAAAAUACUGUCAGACCCUCAAAAAUAUAAAAAAAAAUGCAAUUUCUCAUUUGAAAAAUAUACCGUAAUCUUAAAUCUUUUGAUAUAUUUGUUCUCUAUGGUGUUCUAUCGAUUUAGCCCAAUUAUUUUGAGGAUAUCUAAAAUUGGUUAUGAUUAUAAAUAGCAUCUUCGGAAUAGUCCGCCUUUUUUUGUCGCCAAGUAAAAACUGACAUUUAUAUCGUCUCGUUCAACGUGAAGCCCACAGAUGGCGCCAAAGCCUUGAGUUUUGUUUCGCGCUCCUGCACAAAUUUAAAAUACACAUUUAAUCCCUCGUAAGGAAGGAAUCGUUUCGAUUAUGUAAUUUUUUAGAUAUGUAAGGAAAGUAAUAUCACAUUCUAUUUUUGGUAUCCGUUCGGCAUACAACUCUUUUUGGAGUUCAAAAUUUUCAGUAAAAUAUAUUUUUCAUAUAAAAAAUGUUUUCAUUAGAAACAUUCCCAUAACAUAAACUGAAGUACCUGGUCAAUGCGGAUUCAUCGUCGGGUGACCAUCCAAUUUCGCUGUACCUAUGCAAUACAAACAAAAUUUUAAAAAAGUAAUGUCAGUACUGUCAUGUACAAAAGCUCAAACUAGAAAGUAACAGAAGAUAUAAAGCAUUGUAUAUCCCCUGUUGGGCAUAGCCUAAUGAAUCAAGAACGUCACGUCUAGGGUGAUUCCGAUCUGAUUUUAAUUAGUUUGUUUUUUUGCUGGUGGGUGGGCCUAUAUAAUCUCGGUAGAUUUCCUUGAAAUGCCAUAAUUCUCUGAACAACAGCAAUAUCAGCAUCAGGAGCAAUAUUCGCUUUCACCUGUAACGGGUAACCCAUGUAUACGCAAGAUGUUAUUCCUAGCACUGGACGGCAGGCUAAUAUUUGUUCCGGCUGCGGCUCGUCGGCUACGAGUGUGGUGUUCUUGUCCUUAGCUAAGGCCUACCUUAUUAUUACUUUAAAUAAAUUGAAACGUGCAUACAAAAAGCCAUAAACGCCUAAAACGGAAGACUAUAACUAUAGGUGUAAAACGGACAACGGACAGCAUACCUCUGAUGUUGGUUAGGCACAGCUACGCCCACCCUAUCUUGGUCUUGAAUUCGCCAAAAAAAAAAAUAUUAAUUUCAAGACCCCUUUGUCUUUGAGGGGCCUACAGGGGCUUGCUGUAAGAGUUCAGGCACUAUAAAUAUUUAUUUAAUUCUAAUAAACAUUAAUUAUAAAUUUCCCAAAAAAAAUAGUUCCCAUAAUUUUUACUGUAAUAAUAAAUGUAAUAAAUGUUGCUUAAGAUAAACUAAAUUUAAAGAUUAUGAUUUUCUAAGAUUACAGAGAAGUAAAAGAAAAUAUAAUUAAAAGCACAAUAAAUGCACAUCUGAGAGGGGAAAAUAGACAAGGGUGAAGGCAUGGGAAGCAAGACCGAAAAUGUGGAGACAAAAAAAAAAACAGCUGCAAACAUGCACUUGCACUGCUAAACCCUAUAUUUUUAGUGGGAAGGGUAUAUGUGUUUUCGUGUUUUCUUUCUUCUUUUUUCCUAUUCGGCCUUACUUACGGAGCACUUCGCCCAAACAAGAAAUAAUUGCAAUUGUACAUAUUUAAUUACUCACAGUCGGUACCUCCGAUAGCGAUAUCUAAUGGCGUCCUGCCGACCUCUAUUUAAAGCCUAUCUCUAUUCGAAAUUUGCCUUCGAACUCGCUCUUCUUUUGAUCGACUUGUCUCUGCUUUCUCUGCUCUCCAUAUCUUUGCUUAUUCGCUUCCUCCGCUAAUUUAUAAAGAGAACUAUGCCCGUAUUGGUACGCCUGCAGUGCCUAUUUUUCGGCGGAUCCCAAAAACAAAUCUUUCUCACAAAGCAGCUACACGCCUCACCGUACACACCCCAGAAAUACUCAAUCACUAUCAUCAUGAACUUCUACAAUAUCUUCGUCUUCGUUGCCCUGAUCCUGGUCAUCGGAGUGGGACAGUCGGAGGCCGGUUUGUUGAAAAAGAUACAAUUAUUCAGAAUCUAUACUAUAUAAUUAAUAACAGGAACGCGUUGGGCAGCACACUCGGGAUGCCACCAUCCAAGGUCUGGGAGUUGCUCAUUAUGCUGCCAAUGUAGCAGCCACUGUUCGAGGGUGACGGAACUUUUGGGUCCCAAAGCUUAUUAUAAACAUUUAUUAUUUUAAUAAUCGGUAUUUUUUGAAUAAAGCAAAUAAACUAAUGUGAAGUUAAUUACAUGUUUAUAAGAAUUUGGUUAUCUAGAAUUCUGCACUUCAGUUGGCUUAUGCCACUUGUUACCUCAACAACAAUUGAGGCCAGCAAGAGAAAUGCCCAUUUGAUUUCAGUUAUUUGUUUUAUGUUUUGUGACACCUGAAGAAUUCCUUGAAAUGUCAUUAUUCUCUGAACAACAGCAAUAUCAGCAUCAGGAGCAACUUUUGCUUACACCCCAGAAUUACUCAACCACUCAACCAUAUGUUUAAAGCUGUCGUUUAUAACUCGAAAACACUCUUGGACCUGUAAGAUACUUAGAAUUGUAUAUAUAAAAUAAAUAAAUAAAUAAUACAAUAAAAUAAACUCCUGUAUCUAAUUGUUAGGAACAAUUGUAAAUACAUAUAUGUACAUAUUUGCUUUUGAAUUCCCGUCUUAUUUUCCACUUUUCCAGUUUUAUCUCGAAAUGAAUAACAGAAAAUUUCAUAUCGCCCCAGCUAUGUACUUACAUAUGUACAUAUGUAUGUACAUAUCGACGGUGAUUCCGAUCCGAUUCGGUCUCGUGUACUUUUUUGCUAAACAAACCCCCGUUCGCACCUUAUCAGCAUCGCAUCGCUUGGAGCUGACGGCAUGACGGAGGGCGCUAUAUAAGAUCGGUAGAUUGACUGGAAAAAGCAUCAGACGUUCAGUUAACUCCAAAGACAACAUAUAAUCAGCGCAUCUCGCUUUCUAUAACGCAAGAAAUAUACUUAGAAAAUUUCAUCAUGAACUUCUACAAGAUCUUCUUCGUCGUUGCCAUCAUCCUGGCCAUCGGGAUGGGGCAGUCGGAGGCCGGUUGGCUAAAGAAAAUUGGCAAGAAAAUAGUAAGACGUUUGCAUAAUAUACAAAUUUUUCAAAAUCUAAACCAUAACAUUAUUGACAGGAACGCGUUGGCCAGCACACUAGGGAUGCCACCAUCCAGGGACUGGGCAUUGCUCAACAAGCAGCCAAUGUGGCAGCCACAGCUAAAGGCUGAGGUCUCCUAAUUACAAAUAAUUGUAUUAAUAUUAUUAAAAUGUAUUUCAUAACCUGAGUAAAGUUACACAUUUAACAUUGAAGCAAUCCAUUUAAUGCUUCCUAAUCCUCGAGUUCAAUAUUUCUUCAUACAUUCUAUAUGUUUUAAUGGCCAUAUCUAUCUGCGUGUUUUCUUUGUACAUUAAUGUGCCUUAUACGUUCCGAGAUAGUUUUACUUGCCUGUUACGUAGACAUCCUACUAAAAUAUUCGUCUGAAAGAAAAAGUUAACGAACUCGUCGAAUAACCUAUUUUCAGAUGUCAUAUUUAGUAAGUUUUCCAGUUUUCCAGUUUUUACAUCAAAUGAGGGAUGAAGAGAGACUGUUCAGACCAGCAGUUUAACUUCAAAAUAAUUGAUAUAUUUUCAUAAACCUAAUUCUCUGACAUAAGUAAAUAAAAUGCAUUUAAUUGAAACUCACUAAUAUGAUACCUAAAAUCAAUGGCAGAAUUAUGGUUUCAACAAGAACAACAUCCGAAUGAAAAAAUAGAGAAUAAAUAGAGCAACAUACAUAUGUAUGAUGAUUCCAUUAAUGAACGCAAUUGGUCAUAGUACAUAUGUAAAUGCAUAGUAUACCCAAGUAGAGCGCUUCACGAGUGAUCAGUGGAACAGGGGAACGUGCAGUUCAUUAAUGCGCUCUCACUUGUGGCUUUUUUUUAUCAGCGCGUCUCUGCUUUAUCAAUAUCAGUUAUGGUGCCCUGGGCCCGCUCUGGUGAUUCCCAGUCGCGACUGAGGCAAAAAGUUCCCCCUACUGCAAAUUGCUUCCCUUUCAGUUAAGCACGGGCAAGAUAUUCAAACAUUUACAUAGCCGUCCAUUGUCUCCAGGUAGCCUGACAAUCAUCUUUAUGACGAAUAAGUGGAGGAUGAUAACCAACGCCUAAGUCAAUGUCUUCGUCAUCAGUGAUGCUUCCUUAACGUACAUGUAGGUAAGCAUUUUUUGUUUUUCGUUCUUCCUUCUGCUAUGUAUUCGAUCUUUCCCAUUAAUUUGUUAAGCUCAAGUCGAGAAUAGUCUCCAAGUUUUGUUUUACAACUGAAGUUCACUGGGCUUUUGGGAUCGCUCUUAGGCUUGAGUAUAUCCAGGAACCAGUUGCGGUAUUUACCCACUUACUUACGCUGCUGUGGACUUAAGCAACUUGUCUAAGGACAAGCAGUGGCAGUUAUGACACAGAACUCUGUUUCGCUAUCCCACUCCUUUUGUGUCUCCUCCUUGUGGCAAGUCUCCUGCCACUUGUAGCUGUCACUCAGCGGUUAAUUCGAGCGAUUUUAUUUACAUUUUGUGCGGCAACAGGACCGGAAAGGAGCAUCAGAAGCAGCAGUAGCAGAGUCUGUUAUGUGGCAUAAGAGUGUAAGGCAAAGUCAAGGCCCAAGAUGAAUAAAGCGUUUUUACUUGUUAAGGAAAUUAGUGGCAUAUCCUGACAAGGCGCAUAUCAUCCUACCCUCUCCAUAUCUGACUUGCUGUGUUUGUGUUUGUGUGAGUGUGUUGUGUUGUGUUUGAGCCUCCCCUACUGAUUUAAUUCAUUUGUUGUCUUUGCUUCGAGUCUAUUGUCUGCCCCCUCAUAAUUUUUUCUUGCAGUUGUUGUUGUUGGUUUUUUAUGGUUGAAAUUAAAGUUACAUUUGUGGUGGUUGAUAUGUGAACAAAGGUCCGCCCGGCACGCCCGAGCCAGGGACAUCUCCUCGCAUAGACCACGUACAGUUGUGUGUGAGGUCUCUGUGUGAAUUCCCGCUCUUCCCGGUGUACGAGUAUCAAUCCAAUAAAGCUCGUAUCAGCAUCUGGCCAAACACCACGCUAUGAUAUUUUCUGUUCUGAUCGGGGAUUCACAGUAAGUAUCCAUCGAAUCUGGUCGUUGUCUUUCUUGUCUAGCAGAGAAAUUCCCCGGAACAGUCGUUUCAGGCAAAUCAGCAGUCACCCAACGCAUACAAAAAUAGCCACAUCAGCAGCAUUUGCUGUCUACAAUCACAAAAACACUCCAAGAUUCUCAUCAUGAAUUCAACGAGAUCUUCAUCUUUGUUGCUCUGAACCUGGCCAUCAGCGUGGGACAAUCGGAAGCCGGCUGGCUGGAGAAACUAUGAAAAAGACUUGUGAGGUAAGACGCAGGUCAAUAAUUCAUUAGAAUCUCUACGGAUGCUCGUAUUAUUCUAUUUAGGAACGCGUUGGCCAGCAC
rnacentral:lncRNA from 1 species